rnacentral:misc_RNA from 1 species
AGCACUAAAUCUAGCAUCCCUUGAUCCCAGAUGAAGUACUGCUACAAGUUGAUUCACCGAAAUAAGAGAUGCUUCAUAUCGGAUGAUUUCAGGAUUUUUGAACAGGAUUCUUAAUAGUUCAGAAAUAGAGGCCUCUGUGGAGUCUUUAGGACUCAAAGACAGAUAUUUUGUUAAAGCAUCCAGAGCUCCAGCUUCAGCCAUGAUUAAUUUAUUUGUAUCACUUCCCUUUGCAAGAAGGGUUAAGAGUUGAACAGAAAUUGUAGGGGCACCUGGCCUAUCAGGGAUA